rnacentral:lncRNA from 1 species
UGCGCCUGCAACUUUCCGGUGGUUUCGGACCGGACUUCAGUGAAGCCAGUGAAGUCGGUCGACUUGCAGAACUUCCUUUCAGAGGGGCGUACACAGCACCGCGGCCGUGUGCCUGUGAUCUCCUUCUGAGUUUGAAAAAGAAGAUCCUAGACACCGAGCCAAAUAUGUUUGCAUAAACCGGGAGACUUGUGGCUCUAUUUUGUAACAGCUUGGCGCAGGGCAGCUGGUUUGGAGAUGUCUCUGUUCUUCCCUUGGUGGGGGUGCCGGAAAAAAUGUGCUGCCUGGGCGAUCGAGGUUGGGGCAAAAGCGUUGCAAAGGAAAAGGUGGGAGGACUCUACUUUCACAUUUCCCAAAAGAGUUUUACCAUAAGACUAUUUCUGGAUUGUUCUAACGUGAGGAUAUUGGGAGCAUUUUGAAAAUACUGGAGGAAAAGCUGUCACUGGGCGAUUUAAAUCCGUUCCUGUAAACAUCUGUCCAGGGCCUGAGCUCAGAAGGCAGAAUCCGUCGUGGAGCGUGUCCAACUCCUACCCCAAGAGCAGCCUCCAUGUUUACCCACGGACUGGGCUCACACACAGGCAGGCAGCUCCGAGCUCUGAGCACCUCAGCAUCCUUGGACUCUGAGCUAGCGUGGUCACAUGUCGGGGGGACAGAGUUCCCCAGCCCUUACCCUGCAGUCUUGCUUCUGAUAGGGAAACCUUGAGCUCGUAGUGACUGUGGGGCUGGCUCUCCAGGACAAGCCCCUCCAGUGGAGCCAGGAACCAGGAUGGAAGGUUGGGUUUGGGGGUGGACUGAUGGCCUGGAGUUCACUGCCACCUAUUUUCUUUUCCUCUUUUUCCAUCUCACCCAGAGCUGUGGGAAGAGGCCUUGACAACAGGUGAGAUUUGGGGCACCUGACUGUGACUUCAACCCAGCAGGUGGGGUUGGCCCAAAGCAGUUCCCCAGCUUGUCCUCUCAGGUCCUCUGGACACCCUUCCCCACCACACAUAACCCUGGACCUUCACAGCUCCCACACCACCAUCCACACCUAGGAAAGGACAUCGGACUGGAGGUCAGGGGCCUAGGAUUCAAGUCCCAGCUCUGCCGACAGCUACCAGUGUAUUCUUGGGCAAGUCACUGAACCUCUGUGGGUCCUGAUUCCCUUACCUGUAAGAGAGUGAUAAUCAUAAGGCCCUCUGCAUUGCUCUAAGGAUCAAGAUAAUGCUUGUGAAAGUCUUCACUGUACUCUAAAGUGUGAUUAAUAUAUAUUCUUUAUCCUGGAAUCUCCUAUCUCCUUUGAGUCCUGUUAAAUAAACCAUGAUGUGAAUGGUUAGUAAUGAAGUGUUUGCCCCCUUUCUAGACAGUUAUUUGUACUUGUAACCAUAACUUUCAAUGCCUUUAUUCAGCGAUAAGAGUACGGAAUUAAUUCCAAGUUCAGACCGGGUGUAGCAGCUCACAUCUGUAAUCCCAGCACUUUGUGAGGUCAAGAUGGGAAGAUCGCUCAAGUUUAGGAGUUUGAGACCAGCCUGAGCAACAUAGGAAGACACUGUCUCUACAAGCAAACAAACAAACAGACAAAAAAACAAUAAAUUACCUGGGCAUGGUGGCACAUGCCUGUAGUCCCAGUUGCUCAGGAGGCUGAGGCAUAAGGAUCACUUGAGCCCAGAAGGUUGAGGCUGCAGUGAGCUGUGAUCACACCAUUACACUCCGACCUGGGUGACAGAGCG